GGCGCCAACGGCGGGCCGGCGUGGACGGAAAUUAAAUGAAGGCCGGAGGGAGUAAUCCCCGCAAAGCGCAUCUCUGGCCGCCCUCGUUGAAAAUCCUUCCAGCUCCUGGGCUCCCGCCCCGCGCUCUUCCACCCCCCACCCGACCCCACCCCGGCAGUGAUCGCCUCCGGCAAACUGUGCGUCUCUCUCUCUCCCUUGCGCAUCGCUGUUUCCCCGGGGACCUAGAACAGCACCUCACAUCCUGAUCAAUACAUAUGUCAAAAAUAAUUUUAAAAUGAUAAUAAUAAGGGGACUUCCAGGAACCGUAACCUCGAGAAAUGGAGAAGGGAGACCAUUCCUCACAUCACUAAACAUUUUGUGUGAAGGCCAGCACCCGAAAAAUGCUUAACUACUUGGUGGGAUCAAAUUUCUCGAAGGCAGAGGUCAUCUGUCCGUCCAGGCAGCUGACGAGCCAUGAAGACCAAAUGGAACAUGGGAUCCUGGAUGGCUUCCUGAACCACAGAAGGGACAUUAGUAGGACAGCUGGUGAAACAGGAAUAGUACUGUACCAAUAAUAAUUUCCGGAUUUGGGUAACCGUACUGUGUUUAUGCAACAUCUGGAGAAUUGGGGGAGGGGUGUUUGAGACUUCUUUAGACUGUUUGCAAAAUGUUUGUAAGUUUAAAAAUUCAGAACAAAAAGUUAAAAAAAAAAAUUAAAGAGUAAUCAUAGAGA